GGAGUAACGCGUGGGUAACCGUGCCUCAUACAGGGGGAUAACAGUUAGAAAUGACUGCUAAUACCGCAUAAGCGCACAGUGCUGCAUGGCACAGUGUGAAAAACUCCGGUGGUAUGAGAUGGACCCGCGUCUGAUUAGCUAGUUGGUGGGGUAACGGCCUACCAAGGCGACGAUCAGUAGCCGGCCUGAGAGGGUGAACGGCCACAUUGGGACUGAGACACGGCCCAA
rnacentral:rRNA from 1 species